rnacentral:rRNA from 1 species
UACAGAGGUCUCAAGCGUUGUUCGGAUUCAUUGGGCGUAAAGCGCACGUAGGCGGAUUGCUAAGUCAGGGGUGAAAUCCUGGAGCUCAACUCCAGAACUGCCCUUGAUACUGGCGGUCUCGAGUCCGGGAGAGGUGAGUGGAACUGCGAGUGUAGAGGUGAAAUUCGUAGAUAUUCGCAAGAACACCAGUGGCGAAGGCGGCUCACUGGCCCGGUACUGACGCUGAGGUGCGAAAGCGUGGGGAGCAAACAGG